AAGUCGUAACAAGGUUUCCGUAGGUGAACCUGCGGAAGGAUCAUUGCUGAUUUUCAUGAGGGAGAGGGCGACCUCUCCCCGACCGACACCUCCGUGCACUCUGGGGGGGGAACUCUCCGUCUCCCCUUUUUUUUGAUAACGAACGCCUGUAUUUCUCGCGCGUAUACGACGACCCCUUCGCGGGGUAUGAAAAGAAAUACAA
rnacentral:misc_RNA from 1 species